rnacentral:rRNA from 1 species
GGGACACGUGGUAUCCUGUCUGAAUAUGGGGGGACCAUCCUCCAAGGCUAAAUACUCCUGACUGACCGAUAGUGAACCAGUACCGUGAGGGAAAGGCGAAAAGAACCCCGGCGAGGGGAGUGAAAAAGAACCUGAAACCGUGUACGUACAAGCAGUGGGAGCACGCUUAGGCGUGUGACUGCGUACCUUUUGUAUAAUGGGUCAGCGACUUAUAUUCUGUAGCAAGGUUAACCGAAUAGGGGAGCCGAAGGGAAACCGAGUCUUAACUGGGCGUUAAGUUGCAGGGUAUAGACCCGAAACCCGGUGAUCUAGCCAUGGGCAGGUUGAAGGUUGGGUAACACUAACUGGAGGACCGAACCGACUAAUGUUGAAAAAUUAGCGGAUGACUUGUGGCUGGGGGUGAAAGGCCAAUCAAACCGGGAGAUAGCUGGUUCUCCCCGAAAGCUAUUUAGGUAGCGCCUCGUGAAUUCAUCUCCGGGGGUAGAGCACUGUUUCGGCAAGGGGGUCAUCCCGACUUACCAACCCGAUGCAAACUGCGAAUACCGGAGAAUGUUAUCACGGGAGACACACGGCGGGUGCUAACGUCCGUCGUGAAGAGGGAAACAACCCAGACCGCCAGCUAAGGUCCCAAAGUCAUGGUUAAGUGGGAAACGAUGUGGGAAGGCCCAGACAGCCAGGAUGUUGGCUUAGAAGCAGCCAUCAUUUAAAGAAAGCGUAAUAGCUCACUGGUCGAGUCGGCCUGCGCGGAAGAUGUAACGGGGCUAAACCAUGCACCGAAGCUGCGGCAGCGACGCUUAUGCGUUGUUGGGUAGGGGAGCGUUCUGUAAGCCUGCGAAGGUGUGCUGUGA